rnacentral:rRNA from 1 species
CGCGAAGAACCUUACCAGAUCUUGACAUCCUUCUGAAAAAUCCUUAGCCGGAUUCCUCCUUCGGGACAGAAGAGACAGGUGGUGCAUGGUUGUCGUCAGCUCGUGUCGUGAGAUGUUGGGUUAAGUCCCGCAACGAGCGCAACCCUUGUUCUUAGUUGCCAGCAUUCAGUUGGGCACUCUAAGGAGACUGCCGGUGACAAACCGGAGGAAGGUGGGGAUGACGUCAAAUCAUCAUGCCCCUUAUGACCUGGGCUAUACACGCGCUACAAUGGACCGUACAAAGGGCAGCAAAACCGCGAGGUGGAGCUAAUCUCAUAAAACCGAUCGUAGUCCGGAUCGCAGUCUGCAACUCGACUGCGUGAAGUCGGAAUCGCUAGUAAUCGUGAAUCAGAAUGUCACGGUGAAUACGUUCCC